GCCAGGCGUGGUGGCGUGUGCCUGUAAUCCCAGCUACUCAGGAGGCUGAGGCAGGAGAAUCGCUUGAACCUGGGAGGUGGAGGCUGCAGUGAGCCAAUAUUGUACCACUGCACUCCAGCCUGGGUGAUGGAGCGAGACCCUGUCUCCA
ensembl:misc_RNA Metazoa_SRP Metazoan signal recognition particle RNA